GGGGACUUAGCUCAGGGGUAGAGCGCGCGCUUCGCAUGCGUGAGGCCCCGGGUUCAAUUCCCGGAGUCUCCA